rnacentral:misc_RNA from 1 species
ACGAGUUUUAAUUGUUAGGUUAGAGUUGAGCUGGUUAAUCUGAUUAAUAUGUGCUUACUCUAAUCGAAACAAGUCCACUCAUUACUUAACACUUGUGGACUUAUUCAUUACAAACAUUAUUAUUUGUUAUUGGAACGUUUGAUUAUUAAAAAGUUAAUA